GAGUUUACAUGAACAUUCAUUAGUUCCCUGAUAAGUGCACGCUCCUCAAAUCGCUACUUGGAUUAUUUUGAAAAGACUGGAUGAGAGAGCUGAAGUCACUGGUACAGUAGCUGAUCAUUGUAUGAACUGGACAUACAUGGAGGCUGUUCUCAUCCAGAGACAAUACAUAUCUCAGACACUCACCUAAUUUUGCAUUGCUUCAUUCCAUGCUUACUUUAACACAACUUUCCUUGUCUUUUCUAUUUGAGUUAAAUUCAUAAAGCAAUUACUUCUGUACUUGUCAUAGUAACAUUUAAUUAAUAUAAUAUUUGUGAUCUACAAUAUCGUUUUUUUUAGUAUAAUUUUAAACUGUAAACAUACUUAAAGAUAACAUGUUAUUUGUUAACCUGCAUGCCAUGUUACUAUUAAUACACAUCAGAGAACUGUCAGCAUUAAAGAGUGUUGUUAAAUUAUUGAAAUAUUAACUUUAAUGAAUCUCAGAGGAUAUUAAUUUCGGUAAGCGACAGGAGAACAGAGUUUGGCUGACAAAGAAACAUUUGGGUUUCAUUGUAUGUAAUAGUUGUAAAAUGUGAAAAA